UUUUCAGCCGUUUUUUUAUCCGUCCUUUUCUGAUCGGAGAUUGACGGUCAGUGUCUUCCAUAGCACCAACGUCGAUCAUCUUUUAGUCUUAAUUUUCAUGUUUACUUCGUUUUUUAUUAUGAAUUUGUUGCAAGUUUCUUCUUCAAAGUUUUAUCGAUGAUUCUCUCAACCUUCAACCAAUCGACCAAACUACCAUCAACAAUCGUUCUUGUAGUUGGUGUUACGGUAAAGGCGGCUUCUUUUAAGCUUCCUCCAUUCUAAUCAACAUACAUAUAUGGCUCAAGAUCUUUCAUUUUCGAAGUCUCCAAAAAAUAAGUGAAGACUAUAAAACCGAAAGUUUAGAUGAUGUCCGUUUUCGGAGAUGCAUGAAAUAGCUUCUGAUUUUAGAAAAAAUUGGUUAACUGAAGAAGAAAGAAGCAAGUGAUAAUAAUUGUAGUUUUGAUGUCAUUUGUAACCUGAUUAUUUGGAUAAUCAUUUUCUGUUAAUUAGUUUUGAUUAUUUGUCAUCUCGAGCAAUACCGGC
rnacentral:misc_RNA from 1 species